ensembl:lncRNA
GGGGGGUAGCUCUUUCUACACAAGCGAGGUACUCUCAAGGUCAUGCUGUUAUUGUUUUCAUCAUUCUGGUUUCUUUAUUCUGAGGUUCACCAUCGCUCUCUCCAUCGCCCCUCUCUCUCUCUGACCACACUUCUGCUGUUCCUUUUUCGCUGUGUGUGUGUGUGUGUGUGUGUGUGUGAGUGUGUGUGUGUGUGUGUGCGCGUGUGCGUGUGUGUGUGAGUGUGUGUGCGUGCGCAUGCACCAGCCUCUCCUGUCAGACAGAAGAGGAGGAGCGGGCCGCACUCCGGCAUCUCACCUCCCGAGGACAAGACGUGGGUGUACUCUCCGCUGCACGUCGGCUCAGAGUCUAGCACCCUGCCAGAUGGGGAAGGGGAUAGUGAGACAAAGUAGACCCUCUCUGAGCGGAGAGGAGUGGACUAACGGGCUAUGACAGAAGCUCGGGCCCCACCGGCGGGUUCCCUGGACCCCGGUUAAACCCCGGUCCAGCGAAGGGCAGAGUGGGGGAGCUUCUGGGAUGACACCGGCGGCGGCACCGUCGCUUCGCCGCCGCCAAGCCCCCAGAGAUAUCGAUAAUAAUAAUAAUAAUAAUAUUCAUAAUAAUGAUGAUAAUGUUAAACGUGUAAGUAACAGGAUCCAGACACAUAGGGCUGUGUUCUGUCUCGUCCGUUGGCUCAAUCAACACACCCAGACGUCUCUGCCAGUCUCACAUUCCUUUAUCAGAUGUUAUCGGACGGUUUCAUGAUAUCACCUUAAUUUAUAUAUCGUCUUAUUGUGUGUUCUUUUUUUAUAUAAGCCCUCCGCCCCAGUCGUUUUACUACGGUGAAGAUCUAUUUAUUUGUGUUUGGUUGUUUGGGUGAAGGUUGUUUCCAGGCCUGGUGUUCAUUCACUGGGGGGCUUGUCUACCUUAUGUUUAAAGCGUUUUCAGUACCUGUAAAAACAUUUUUUAUUGCAUUUUUCAUAUUUAAGCGCAGUCGAGAAUCUUAAUUGUGUUGGUUUGUAUAUUCAUCUAAUAUUUAUGGGAUUGAAAAAUAAAAAAGGUUUUCCAAACACCUACUUUAAAAAAAUGAAAAACCCACUUCAGAAAGUAGACAUUGGCAAUCAAUUAUCAAUGAUCAUUGUCUUCCGAGGUGAACCUGUUUUCGGACUGAUUCAAACUUAUCAUUUUAACAUUUAAUUGGGUCCUGUAGUUGUCACUUUAUUGUGAAAUAUGAACAUCAUCUUCCCACAACUGCCUGUCCUCAAACCUCUUUGAGAAACACUAUAUCAGAUGGAUGACAUUUGAAAUAUUUCUAGAUUUAGCAAAACAGUUGUAGUAUUUUGGGUCAAUAUGUGCAGUGUGUGACUUGGUGAGCAAUAUGACGUUUGUGGAGAAUGUGAAUGUUUGCACUUGAGGUGGGGGGGGAGAGGACAUAUGAACUAGAGGCCAAAUGAUCCACGACAUCACUCGUUUUUACCACAGCCAUCUCAGUUUAUUUUCAGUUAUGGAAGAAAAGUUCUACUCGGCUGCUUUUUGGUUUUACGAAAAUAGUGUUUGUAACAGUGAAGUCGAUCACAAUCAUUCUAGAAUAAAUGUUUACUGUAAUCUCUGUGGCUAACGUUGAAAGGACUCUCAAGUUGAGUGGAUUGAAGUUAUGAGUAUGUAAACAACAUUUUGAAAAAAGCUAUUCUAGUCAUCCUCUGUGAAAACACUUUUCCUCAGUUGGUGCGUGAGUCGUGUCAAGGGAAGUCAAUGUCAGACGUUGUAAAAUCGAUAUUUCCAUCUUCAUGACGUGCAGUGGCCAGUUGUCAUCCGUUUGCAUCACAUGGAGCCCAUAGCAGCAAUAUUUUGUACAGUUUAGCUUUUAAGUUCAUUAUUAUUGCCUUUGUGGAUUAACACAACAUAGGCCUUUCACUUACUUUUUUCCACCUGUUCUGUUUUUAUUAUUUUCGAUUGUUGUGCUCCUACGAAUGUGUACAUAUGAUUAUAAAUACAUAUACAAAGAUAUAUAAAUAUAUUUUCCAUUUUAAUUGGAGAAUAUUAUUUUUAUUUGUUUUAUUUUUUUGCUGCUGGCAAGAAAUUAUUGCGAUCUACAUAAUUUACUGUACCAUAUCAAUGAUGUGUUAAAUGAGAUACAGCUAUAUUUAUGGUCCAUGAAUCAGAGCUGUGGCUUUGUAAGAUAUUCAAAAAUGAGAGAAAUGUGUCCAAUUGACUCUAGGCCUACAUGCAAAAUCAAUAGGGGUUCUUCCGACUGUCCAGCUGUGUUCGUGUUCGUGUUUUCAACGCCAUGUGCCCUCAUCUUAGGGAGAGUCUUUUACAGAGACAUAGCAUGUUUUAAAAAUGAAUAUGCAUAUCUGACGUGUAUUUAUGUAUAUCUGUGUAUAUUCAUCUAUUUAUACACGAUGAUAAAUAGAUGGCCUAUGUGUUUGGACUCGAUCUGAUUGAAUACAAAAAAAAUAAAGCCGUUCUGUCUGAAUCUUUUUGUGCUGCUCUGUUUUUGAUGUCUGAAACCGGGAGCGGUUAUUCGUUUUAUUGGUCUAUUUCGUAUGUUUUUCUGGGUUAAUUUCAUUGCGUCUGGGUCAUGGACAUAUUAAAGAAGGUCUGGGUAUAUAAACUGAAUGUGAACUCCUCGCGAGAUCACGCUGUUCUCACGAGGAUAACAAACCUCCCGCCCUAGCCUAGACAAC